CCUACGGGAGGCAGCAGUAAGGAAUAUUGGUCAAUGGACGAAAGUCUGAACCAGCCAUGCCGCGUGAAGGAUGACGGCCCUCUGGGUUGUAAACUUCUUUUAUAUGGGACGAAAAAAGGGAAUUCUUUCUCACUUGACGGUACCAUAGGAAUAAGCACCGGCUAACUCCGUGCCAGCAGCCGCGGUAAUACGGAGGGUGCAAGCGUUAUCCGGAUUCACUGGGUUUAAAGGGUGCGUAGGUGGGUAGGUAAGUCAGUGGUGAAAUCUCCGAGCUUAACUCGGAAACUGCCAUUGAUACUAUUUAUCUUGAAUUUUUUUGGAGGUGAGCGGAAUAUGUCAUGUAGCGGUGAAAUGCUUAGAUAUGACAUAGAACACCAAUUGCGAAGGCAGCUCACUACGAAAUUAUUGACACUGAGGCACGAAAGCGUGGGGAUCAAACAGGAUUAGAUACCCUGGUAGUCCACGCCCUAAACGAUGGAUACUCGACAUCAGCGAUACACUGUUGGUGUCUGAGCGAAAGCAUUAAGUAUCCCACCUGGGAAUACGACCGCAAGGUUGAAACUUAAGAGUUAGAGCGUGNGAGAGCGACGACGACGACGACGGAGGAGG
rnacentral:rRNA from 1 species